CUGUCAUGUGUUUUGAACAACCACUAUCCAAAAACCAAGGCUUUUUCUUUGCACCUUGAUAGUAUCCCUGCAUUUUGAAAUUUUUGUUUAGGUGCCCAUAAUGACUUGGGUCCUUGAGGGUUAGUUUUCACAAUUUGUUUAUUCUUAAAAUAACAUUCUUUUUCAAGAUGCCCAAAAUUUUUGCAAAAUGAACAAUGUUUAUUUUUUCUCUCUAGAUGACGAUAACGUUUUGGUUCAUAGUAAAAACUUUCA
rnacentral:lncRNA from 1 species